AACGAACGCUGGCGGCAUGCCUAACACAUGCAAGUCGAACGAGAUCUUCGGGUCUAGUGGCGCACGGGUGCGUAACGCGUGGGAAUCUGCCCUUUGGUUCGGAAUAACAGUUGGAAACGACUGCUAAUACCGGAUGAUGACGAAAGUCCAAAGAUUUAUCGCCAGAGGAUGAGCCCGCGUAGGUUUAGCUAGUUGGUGUGGUAAAGGCGCACCAAGGCGACGAUCCUUAGCUGGUCUGAGAGGAUGAUCAGCCACACUGGGACUGAGACACGGCCCAGACCCCUACGGGAGGCAGCAGUGGGAAAUAUUGGACAAUGGGCGGAAGCCUGCUCCAGCAAUGCCGCGUGAGUGAUGAAGGCCUUAGGGUUGUAAAGCUCUUUUACCCGGGAUGAUAAUGACAGUACCGGGAGAAUAAGCUCCGGCUAACUCCGUGCCAGCCGCCGCGGUAA
rnacentral:rRNA from 1 species